UGCUCUGGCAGCGACGACGUGGCCGACCAGUCUCUUCAGUUGUCGGCACGAGCGAUCUUUCUCCUCGGCCGAUGUCGGUUUCCUGUGCUGGAUACCCUUUGCGAAGGCAUUGCAUUCGGCUAAGCUGUCCAAAUUCCGACACGCAUCAAUGCGCCUCRCGGCGCAUGCGGUGCGGACGGACCUCGGAGCAUCUUCCGUGGCAUCCCGAUCCGUGUGCUCCCGAAUGGGUUCCCGGCUCGACGAUCCACGGUGGCCUGCUCGAUCUCUCGGAUGCGGAACACCCGUGGGUAUGAGGCGACGUCCUCUUAAUGUCCCGAAAGAAAAGCUUCUUGCGAACGACGGUCGUUCCGGUCUCGAUCCCUUGCCCCCGUGGCAUCGGUCGUGCCGGGACGACGUCGGUGAGGAAUGCUACCUGGUUGAUCCU
rnacentral:misc_RNA from 1 species